rnacentral:rRNA from 1 species
AUACGGAGGAUGCGAGCGUUAUCCGGAUUUAUUGGGUUUAAAGGGAGCGUAGGCGGGAGCUUAAGUCAGCGGUUAAAUCGUGGGGCUCAACCCCAUUCUGCCGUUGAUACUGGGUGGCUUGAUUGCGGUCGAGGUUGGCGGAAUUCGUUGUGUAGCGGUGAAAUGCAUAGAUAUGACGAAGAACACCGAUUGCGUAGGCAGCUGACCAGACCGCAAAUGACGCUCAUGCACGAAAGUGCGGGGAUCGAACAGGAUUAGAUACCCUGGUAGUCCGCACAGUAAACGAUGAAUACUUGUUUUCGGCGAUAUAAUGUCGGAGGCAAAGCGAAAGCGAUAAGUAUUCCACCUGGGGAGUACGCCGGCAACGGUGAAACUCAAAUGAAUUGGCGGGG